rnacentral:rRNA from 1 species
GUCUAUGGUCAUACCAUCUAAAUGCACCAGAUCACAUUAGAUCUCAGAAGCUAAGCAAGGUGGGGCCUGAUUAGUAUUUGAAUGGGAGAAGUCAACAACCCUGGGAGCCUUCCCCA